CUAUGCGCCUUGCCAGCCCGCUCAGUCAGAGUUUGAUCCUGGCUCAGAGCGAACGCUGGCGGCAGGCCUAACACAUGCAAGUCGAACGAACUCUUCGGAGUUAGUGGCGGACGGGUGAGUAACACGUGGGAACGUGCCUUUUGGUUCGGAAUAACUCAGGGAAACUUGUGCUAAUACCGAAUGUGCCCUUCGGGGGAAAGAUUUAUCGCCAUUAGAGCGGCCCGCGUCUGAUUAGCUAGUUGGUGAGGUAAAGGCUCACCAAGCGACGAUCAGUAGCUGGUCUGAGAGGAUGAUCAGCCACAUUGGGACUGAGACACGGCCCAA
rnacentral:rRNA from 1 species